GGACGAACGCUGGCGGCGUGCUUAACACAUGCAAGUCGAACGGAAAGGCCCUGCUUUUGUGGGGUGCUCGAGUGGCGAACGGGUGAGUAACACGUGAGUAACCUGCCCUUGACUUUGGGAUAACUUCAGGAAACUGGGGCUAAUACCGGAUAGGAGCUCCUGCUGCAUGGUGGGGGUUGGAAAGUUUCGGCGGUUGGGGAUGGACUCGCGGCUUAUCAGCUUGUUGGUGGGGUAGUGGCUUACCAAGGCUUUGACGGGUAGCCGGCCUGAGAGGGUGACCGGCCACAUUGGGACUGAGAUACGGCCCAGACUCCUACGGGAGGCAGCAGUGGGGAAUAUUGCACAAUGGGCGGAAGCCUGAUGCAGCAACGCCGCGUGCGGGAUGACGGCCUUCGGGUUGUAAACCGCUUUCGCCUGUGACGAAGCGUGAGUGACGGUAAUGAGUAAAGAAGCACCGGCUAACUACGUG
rnacentral:rRNA from 1 species